GAUGCCCAGGAGGCCAAGUUUUAUGAAUGACAGCAAUGUUGACAUUCUAAUCCAGGUAAUUUUUUUGUACUGGGGGUUGACUGUUCUGUUCUUUGUAUAGGGUGUGGCAUCAUCCUUGUUCCCUAUCCACUGCUACCUGCUGCUAGCAGGAGCAGCAGCAAGCAGCACCUCAGCUGUGACAACCAAAAAUGCUUCUAAGUAUUGUGAAAUGGUCUCAAGUAACAAAAUAUUCUACCUUCCACCA